rnacentral:hammerhead_ribozyme from 1 species
GCACUUCUGAGGAGUCCUACUAUAGGACGAAAUGAUCGUCCAGUGC